CCAAUCCGAGAAUACUUCCAGACCAAAUAUAGAAAAUUAUAGGGACUCAGUAGAGCUUCACAUAUCCCUUUUGUGUUUCGCAGCUGGUGAUCAUUUCAAAUUGAAAACAAAAUAAAAUACCUAGAAGAUGAACAUCGAUGAAUGCUGGCUGCUAAACCCCUAUCUCACCGAGAAUUGUCAAGUCUUCUAAUUCAUGACGCACUACAUGUAUGGAUGCACAAGGCCUUCGAAUCCAAUCUGAUGUGAAAGAAAAGAGGCUUGACAAGUGAGCCAAGUAAUGACCACCUCAGAAAUGAAGCUCGUGGUGUUCAAAGUGCAGGGACUAAGGAUCAGUCAGCACAGAGCAAAUCUAGGGAACUUAUCGUUGACAUCAGAAAGAAAGAAGGAGGUCACACCCCCAUCUAAAUCAACGGAACUGAGGUUGAGAGGGUGGAGACCAUCAAGAUCCUUGAAGAGAC